AAAUUGUCUGGGCCAUUUGGUUAAGAUCAAGGGUAGUAUCUGUUCUUAAUCAGUUUAGUAUCUGAUAGGCCUCUAUUUGAGGACAGUAUAUUAAAUAGAGUUUUAGAAGUAGGAGUUGGAAUAGGAGCUUGCUCCAUCCACUCCAAGUAUUGACCUGGUAUUAGAGUACAUCCAGAAAUGGUGUACCCCCU